rnacentral:sRNA from 1 species
UUCAGUUCAGUUGGAUUCAUAGACGAGUCGUCACAGCGUCCCAGCGUCGUCGUUUUGGUUUUCGAGCAACCAAUUAAAAAAGUGCUGCACAAAAGUAUCUCGAAGUGGGCUAACGCUGGGUCAGCGUCAACGCUGCUGCUGUUGCUAUCGUUUUGGUUUCGCUGCUCUGCUGUCUAAUGAGAAUGAACGGAAUAAAAUUUAAUUAAAUUAAAUUAAAUAAUGCACACACGCGCUACCCAGAGAGGAGCGGAGUGGGAAUGGGAACGGGAGAGAGAGAGAGGCAUAGAAGUGUGUGGUGUCUUUCCCGCAGUGUGUGUGUGUGUGUGUAUAUAUGUAUUAUGUAUCUCCUCUCUAAGCUCUGUUCUACUGUUCUCGGUUCUUGUUCUUUGCGUUUCGUUUCGUUUCGUUCUAAGUUCUUUUUUCGUGUCGUAUCCGUAUCCGUAUCUGUGUGCAAGUGUUCGUAUGCUCAUGUGUGCGUCUGUGAGUGUGUGUGCUUUUUGUGAACUACGUUUUGUUUCAAUGCCAAAAAGUAUCUAUGCCUUGGCAUGUGCGCUUUACUCGGGCUCUCGCCUCGCCUCGCUCUCUCUCGCUCGCUCGUUUGUCAGGCUGGUUACAUAAAUACUCACACAAACACGAAACCACACUCACACACACACACACACACACAUGUUCAUGUACCAAAAGUAUAUAAAAAAAAGAAACAGAAAUUGUAACGCGCUAGAUUUUGAACCAAAUUUAAUUAACACUUGGUCAAAACCCCUCCGACCAAAAACAAUUCCACUUCCAACUGGAAGGAGACGCUUUUCCAUCUAUCCCAUUGGAAGCAUCAGUUGGUGAGAAAGAGAGGGAGAGAGAGACAGAGAGAGGAGGUAGCCACAAAACAUGUGUUAAUUUAUCAGAUGCUUCGUGGAUAUGUUAUCAACAAACAUUCCCUUGGGAAGAAACUCCUCCCCCUCUUCCUCUUUGGAACCCAUUCCAAUGGUCAAAUGGCAGGCAAAGCGCUCCUUCUAAGAGCAGAACGAGAACGAGAACACACACACUAAAAACAAAACGUUGGAACGAGCAAACGAAAUUAAAAUCAACGACGUCAUAAAAAAGUGUGUCAAAGCAGCACCAACACUCUCGAACACACUCUUUUUCUCCCAGUGUGUGUGUGUGUGCAAAGCUUUUUCUCGCUCUCAUCCUCCUCCUCCUCCCCCUCACUUGAUUAGCGCUUGCAAGCUAAGGCUAAAGCUGGAGCUGGAGCUGAAGCUGAAGCUGAGACUGAGGCCGAAGGCUGAUAAAACGCAACGCACACAGCGCGUAUACAUAAUUUAUAUACUAUUUUAUUUGAAAUGCUUUUCGUUUUCGUUUGUGUGUCCCCAACGAGUUUUUCUCGUUAUUCUCUCCCAUACUCACGUUCCCCCCGCAUGGAAUGCUCUCUCUCUCUCUCUCUCUCGCACUCUCUGUCAGGGCAAACAUAUGGCCUGCCUAGGCAUUUCUCAGUUAUUAUGUCAUAAACAAUUUGAAUGGCAAAAUCCGAUAGAAGUUCAAUUUGUUCAAGGCAAUGAAUGCUUGAAGCCUGCAGCCCAUGUUCGCAGCGAGCUUUUGGCAGUGCACAGGAAAUGCAAAAGUUUGUCCCAAAAAUGUCGCUCUUCAUAAGUGUGCGUUCGUGUGUGUGUGUGAACGUGCAGCAAUUUUCCAACGUUUGCAUGAAAACCUAGUGCCCUAAUAAGAAAUUGUCAGUGGGAGAGGAAAAACAAAGAGAGGCAGAGAGCGAUGAGAGCCAGGGAGCCGUGUACAUAUGGUGGUUGCGGGAGAGCAAAAGCUUAAGGUUGAACCGUUUUUCCGGCAAUCAUUUGAAAUACAUUUUAAAACAAUCAACCGCGUAACGCAUUUCAAAUAAAACAA